rnacentral:sRNA from 1 species
UGCUUAAGAAGAGUGGGGAAAUGACUGGUGUAUUUUUUUUUUCAUAGCAUUUGUAACUGUUUUUCUUCCAAAGAAAAGUCUUCAUGAUGUCAAACAUCAUUCAGAAUAUAGGAUGUAUUCUAUUAUGGGUUUGAAUUCAGUUCAUUUAUCCUUCUUUAUUGCCCUGAAUACUAAAGAGCAUCAUUUGAAAAAGAACCUAUGGAAUUGUGAAGUUUGCUGCUUUUUAUGUGACUGUGACUGAAUGGGUCUUGUUAAGCCCAAAGUGACUCAAAGGGCAUGACCUGUGUAUAACUCUCUGGUGAUUAUAUACAGGAUUGAAAAUCCUCCAAGCCUGCUUUUAAAGUUGUAGCACAGCAGUUUUAGACGUAGAAAGGCUGGUUUUCCAUCUUGUCAUACAGGCAGAAAUACUCAGUGUCCUCAGUCACAGAAACAUCAUCCAGUUUUAUGGAGUAAUUCUUGAACCUCCCAACUAUGGCAUUGUCACAGAAUAUGCUUCUCUGGGAUCACUCUAUGAUUACAUUAACAGUAACAGAAGUGAGGAGAUGGAUAUGGAUCACAUUAUGACCUGGGCCACUGAUGUAGCCAAAGGAAUGCAUUAUUUACAUAUGGAGGCUCCUGUCAAGGUGAUUCACAGAGACCUCAAGUCAAGAAACGUUGUUAUAGCUGCUGAUGGAGUAUUGAAGAUCUGUGACUUUGGUGCCUCUCGGUUCCAUAACCAUACAACACACAUGUCCUUGGUUGGAACUUUCCCAUGGAUGGCUCCAGAAGUUAUCCAAAGUCUCCCUGUGUCAGAAACUUGUGACACAUAUUCCUAUGGUGUG